GGAAGCUGCAUGGGGAGCUUGUGCAGGUGAGGGAGUAGGGGGCUGGAUCUCUGGGAAGGGCGGUGGGGGCUCUCGGAGUUCCGGAGAGGUAGCCGCUCUGUGACUCCAAGGCCUACAAGGGGCCCCUGUGAGCCCUGCAGCGCUGUUUUGAUUUAAAUCCUGUGGAUUUCUGUACCACCUACAAGGGACAGCGGCUAGCUAGUGGCUUGGAUUCUUAUUUUUGUUUUAGGUUUAUUUAUGUUAUUUUUUAUAUAUGGGUGUUUUGUCUGCACACCAGAAGAGGACAUUGGAUACUAUAGGACUGCAGUUUGACUCUUGCAAGCCGCAUUAUGGGUGCUGGGAAUUAAACUGAGAACCAUUGAAAGAGCAGCCAGUACUUUUACUUAAUGAGCCUCCAUCGCACUGUGGCCUGGAUGUAUCUCAGGGUUGCCCUUUGUUUUUUAAUGUAAUUUGAAAUGUGUGACAUGUUUCUUAAGGCAUUUUGCUUUUUGAGGGGAAAAAAUGCACACACACACACACACACACACACAAAAGGCUCCUGAUCUUCUCAUCUUUCCGCCUCUACCUCCUGAGUGCUGAGCUGAUAGAUACGAGCUUCUAUACCUGGUUUACAGUGCUGGGGAUUGAACCCAAGGCUUCAUUCAUCUUUGGUAUACACUCCACUGAGUUGCAGCAUCAGGCAUUGAGCUUAUGGCUGUUGGUGACUUUAGGGAGGACUGUCAGACUUCCUGCUAGGAAUUUUUUUUUUUUUUUUUUGAUUUUUUGUCCAGGACAGCAAAGCUCAGAUUAUAUCUGUCCUCUUAGCUCUUCAUGGCUUAUCCCAAACCUGUCUUAUAUCUUAUUUUGGAGUUAUCCCCCCAACAUAUGAGGGACUCAAAUAUUUAAGAAAUAAACAAUUGCUGGAGGUAGGUUGAUGGUUCCUAUAGAGAAGAGCCUUAAAGUGAUUUGUGCAAGAGAACCUUCUUAGAUGUCUUGGCUGGUAGGGCUCUUGCCACCAAACCUGAUGACUUAUAUUCAUUCCUCAGAGCCUUGACAGUAGAAGAGAACCAGCUCCCAAAAGUUAUCUUUUGCCACAUGAGUUGCUAAGGUGUGCUUGCUCUCCCUAGUAAAUAAAAACAACUGUUAAGAGAAAGAACCGUUUAAGAGAGGAAACCAGGACUAGCAUUCUAGUUAGCCUGUGACACUUGCUACCAGAUGAACAGUGAAAAUAAGCUCUCCUCACUUCUGUGCAUGCCUAUCCUUGCUGUCUUCAGCCCAGAGCAGACCCAUCUUAGACCUGAGAGAGAUCCCUGUGCUGUUUUUUCUAAUAUUGGUUCUACACAGGGACUUGCAAAGCAAAGGUCCCAGAAAACCCAGUUCGCCACACCGUCCUCAGCUUUCCAGAAUGUUCUGGGAGCCUGUGUGGACAAACCAGAUUUCUAGCCUGCUAUGGUGACACAUCCAGGUAAUCCCAGCACUCGGGAGACUGAGGCAGGAAGAAGGCCACUGGUUGGAGGUUAGUAGGUCUACAUCUUGAAUUUUAGGACAGGCAAAGCCAUGUAGUGAGACUUUGUCUCAAAACGCAUAAGAUAAAAAUAAAGUC
rnacentral:lncRNA from 1 species